AGUGAACGCUGGCGGUAGGCCUAACACAUGCAAGUCGAACGGCAGCACAGUAAGAGCUUGCUCUUACGGGUGGCGAGUGGCGGACGGGUGAGGAAUACAUCGGAAUCUACUUUUUCGUGGGGGAUAACGUAGGGAAACUUACGCUAAUACCGCUUACGACCUACGGGUGAAAGCAGGGGAUCUUCGGACCUUGCGCGAUUGAAUGAGCCGAUGUCGGAUUAGCUAGUUGGCGGGGUAAAGGCCCACCAAGGCGACGAUCCGUAGCUGGUCUGAGAGGAUGAUCAGCCACACUGGAACUGAGACACGGUCCAGACUCCUACGGGAGGCAGCAGUGGGGAAUAUUGGACAAAGGGCGCAAGCCUGAUCCAGCCAUACCGCGUGGGUGAAGAAGGCCUUCGGGUUGUAAAGCCCUUUUGUUGGGAAAGAAAAGCAGCAGGUUAAUACCCCGCUGUUCUGACGGUACCCAAAGAAUAAGCACCGGCUAACUUCGUG
rnacentral:rRNA from 1 species